ACACAUUCUAAGGGCCAGAGGUAAUCGCUUCAUGAUUUAAUUUAAAAACCAGAAACACAAGAGGAACCCAUUUAAAAAUAAUAAUGGGAAAGAAUAAAGCAGGUAUUUUGGCUACUUUAUUUUUUCAGUUAAUCUCUUUACCUUUGGAAUUCAUGAGGUACUCAGCUGUGGUCAUUUGAAUAAAAAUGGUCCCUUAGGCUCACACUAUGAGCCUAAGGCAGGGUUAGCCACAAUUGAUAAAGUGUUUUUGAAAGGUCAGAGGUGGGCCUUGUUGGAGGAGGUGUGUCACUGGAAGGGGGCUUUGGGGUUUGAAAAGUCAGUCCUGGGUCCAGUCUACCUCACCCUCCUGACGCCCUGUCUUUCUGUCUUUGUCCCUGUUGGCUACACAUUGUUUUCAGUCACUUCUCACUUCUCAAACACCAUUAUUUGUCUAUCUGCUCCCUUCCCUGAUGUUAUAAACCAAGUCUCUAAAUAUUUCCCUUUAUAAGAGUUGCCUUUUCCAUGGUGUCAUGGUGUCCCUUCACUGCAAGAAACAAUUAAAAAAAAAAU
rnacentral:lncRNA from 1 species